rnacentral:rRNA from 26 species
UCCGUUGGUGAACCAGCGGAGGGAUCAUUAC